GACGAACGCUGGCGGCGUGCUUAACACAUGCAAGUCGUACGGUAAGGCCCUUUCGGGGGUACACGAGUGGCGAACGGGUGAGUAACACGUGAGUAACCUGCCCACAACUUUGGGAUAACGCUAGGAAACUGGUGCUAAUACUGGAUAUGUGCUCCUGCUGCAUGGUGGGGGUUGGAAAGCUCCGGCGGUUGUGGAUGGACUCGCGGCCUAUCAGCUUGUUGGUGGGGUAGUGGCCUACCAAGGCGGCGACGGGUAGCCGGCCGGAGAGGGUGACCGGCCACAGUGGGACUGAGAUACGGCCCAGACUCCUACGGGAGGCAGCAGUGGGGAAUAUUGCACAAUGGGCGCAAGCCUGAUGCAGCAACGCCGCGUGCGGGAGGACGGCCUUCGGGUUGUAAACCGCUUUCAGCAGGGACGAAGCUUUUUGUGACGGUACCUGCAGAAGAAGCACCGGCUAACUACGUG
rnacentral:rRNA from 1 species